rnacentral:rRNA from 1 species
GAUGAACGCUGGCGGCGUGCCUAAUACAUGCAAGUCGAGCGAACAGACGAGGAGCUUGCUCCUCUGACGUUAGCGGCGGACGGGUGAGUAACACGUGGAUAACCUACCUAUAAGACUGGGAUAACUUCGGGAAACCGGAGCUAAUACCGGAUAAUAUAUUGAACCGCAUGGUUCAAUAGUGAAAGACGGUUUUGCUGUCACUUAUAGAUGGAUCCGCGCCGCAUUAGCUAGUUGGUAAGGUAACGGCUUACCAAGGCAACGAUGCGUAGCCGACCUGAGAGGGUGAUCGGCCACACUGGAACUGAGACACGGUCCAGACUCCUACGGGAGGCAGCAGUAGGGAAUCUUCCGCAAUGGGCGAAAGCCUGACGUAGCAACGCCGCGUGAGUGAUGAAGGUCCUCGGAUCGUAAAACUCUGUUAUUAGGGAAGAACAAAUGUGUAAGUAACUAUGCGCGUCUUGACGGUACCUAAUCAGAAAGCCACGGCUAACUACGUG